UACUGAAAACAUUUUAGGGUUCAUUUACCAAAGAAGUGCAAGUUUAGAGCAACUUUGUAUAUAGUGUUUCAGCCAAGAAAUUGCAAAUGUUUUCAAGUUUAAUUUCACUUCUUAGAACCGCUCUUAACGUCUGUCCUGAUUAGAUAAGAGGUUCAGAAACACUCUGCCUUCCCUGGGCCAUGACUGCAAUGCCGUGUCUUAUUAGCAGCCCUGCAAACGAGGGCAGGAUGUUCAAUUAACAAAUGAAAAGACAAUUAUAUGGAGGGGAUAGUUUCUUUUAGGCUAAUGUCACAUGGGGGCAGUUUAGCCGUCACUGCAAUAACAUGUAGAACAGCAGUUGUUGAAAUUUGCCACUCGGCUUAUCACUGCUUCCCAUCAUUAUCAUGUGCUCUGUAUCUAUGGAGAAAGCCAGGAUUGUGUGACUGAAUAGCAUAAUCCUACAGAUGAUUUCUAAAAUAUGACAUACACCACCCCACA